GUAGACAUAGUUUAACCAAAACAUUAGGUUGUGGGCCUACAAAUAAGAAUNNNAUCCUCUUUGCCUACC
rnacentral:tRNA from 1 species